CCCGCCAUUAAACCAAAAGAAGAAGAAGAAGAUUGUAACGUCAGCUCAUCGUAAGCAUUAGAUUAUUCACCCAGUGUUUAUUCACAAGAUUGACCAAAUCUUAUUUAGAUGACCAAAUUAUGAACAAUGACCCACCCUGAGGCUGUAAGAGUGUGCCUGAUGAGAGAAUGCGUACUUGAAGCAGUUAUAGGACUUAAUAUAUUCAAGAAGACCAAGCGAUCCUUAUAGGACUACAUGCAAAGCAAUGUACUCCAGACCGCACAACUGGACAUACAGAUUGUGCCCUGAUGCCAUCUGCCCCGUUCUCCCAGCCUCAUCUUCCCUCUCUAUGCCUAGCUUCACAUCGAUUGGCUCUUCUUUGGCUCCCCUCAUCCCGUCUGCCUGCCUCGCUGCUCUCCCUGAUAACAUUUCCUGACUGAUGCCUUGCACUCUGACUCUUUCUGCAAGGUGCCAUUCUCAGCAGUGACUCAAUUUAGUGCCACCCUGCUGCUUGGCAUUGCACUUCUGAGGUCAUCACCAUCUUUCUUCAGCCAACCAAAAUGAUUCUCACCAACCACCCCAGCUCUGCUAAGCUUGAUGUUGGAGGUCUGCUGUUUUUGAAGCAGGGGACCACUGUCCAUUAAAGGCUUCCUAAACCAUUUAACAAAAUCACAUAAGAUAGGGUAGUUCAUACUCCAUGCGAUGUGCCAUACAAUGGAAGGGCCAUGUUCCUUAUCACAUCUGGAUACUGCAAAGCUCCUGUCUCCUCAACAAUUUACGAACUAAUCAAUUAUUAAAUGAAGAAAUGCUAUGUAAAUGCAAAGAUAUUUCUUCCUGUGGAAUUUGAGUCUUAAAUUUAGUAAUUACUGUUUUAUGGCAUAAAUAAAAGUUAAAUAUUAUAUUA